rnacentral:rRNA from 1 species
UACGUAGGGACCAAGCGUUGUUCGGAUUUACUGGGCGUAAAGGGCGCGUAGGCGGCAAAUUAAGUCAGCUGUGAAAUCUCCGAGCUUAACUCGGAACUGUCAGCUGAUACUGAUGUGCUAGAGUGCGGAAGGGGCAAUCGGAAUUCUUGGUGUAGCGGUGAAAUGCGUAGAUAUCAAGAGGAACACCUGAGGUGAAGACGGGUUGCUGGGCCGACACGUGACGCUGAGUGCGCGAAAGCCAGGGGAGCAAACGGG